rnacentral:snoRNA from 12 species
AGGUCGGUGAUGAGCAACAAUCACCAUCUUUUGUUUGAGCCUCACGGCCAUGAGAUCAACUCCAUGCACUGCUCUGAGACCU